rnacentral:rRNA from 1 species
GACGAACGCUGGCGGCGUGCUUAACACAUGCAAGUCGAACGAAGUGGCGAACGGGUGAGUAACGCGUAAUCAACCUGCCCUUCAGAGGGGGACAACAGUUGGAAACGACUGCUAAUACCGCAUACGGAAGGAGGGGAUUGCGUCUGAUUAGCUAGUUGGAGGGGGAACGACCAACCCAGGCUAUGAUAAGUAGCCGGUUUGGGAGGGUGGACGGCCACAUUGGGACUGAGACACGGCCCAGCAUCCUACGGGAGGCAGCAGUGGGGAAUCUUCCGCAAUGGACGAAAGUCUGACGGAGAAACGCCGCGUGAGUGAUGACGGCCUUCGGGUUGUAAAGCUCUGUUAAUCGGGACGCGGUACCGGAAUAGAAAGCCACGGCUAACUACGUGCCAGCAGCCGCGGUAAUUC